UACGUAGGGGGCAAGCGUUGUCCGGAAUCAUUGGGCGUAAAGAGCGUGUAGGCGGCUCGAUAAGUCUGCUGUGAAAGUCCAGGGCUCAACCCUGGAAGGCCGGUGGAAACUGUCGGGCUAGAGUCCGGAAGAGGCGAGUGGAAUUCCCGGUGUAGCGGUGAAAUGCGCAGAUAUCGGGAGGGACACCAAUGGCGAAGGCAGCUCGCUGGGACGGUACUGACGCUGAGACGCGAAAGCGUGGGGAGCAAACAGG
rnacentral:rRNA from 1 species